rnacentral:ncRNA from 1 species
ACAAAAAUGAUGAAGGGGAAAAGUAGGCGGAACACAGCCUUUCAGGGAGGAGGCGCCGUGACUGAAAGCGCUUCUAUGGCAUGAUCCGUUGAAGUUCUCCCCGGAGUUGCCCGGCUGAAACCGCACGGAAAGUAGGCCCGGCCGGAGGCUUCCACCGUUAAAAGGAAGGGGGUAUAAGGAAAAUUGCUCCCGUACCCUGCGUAACGAGCGGGCUCCUUUGUGGGCCAACUAGGGUGGUACCGCGAAAAACAACUUUUCGUCCCUAAG